ACGAACGCUGGCGGCAUGCCUAACACAUGCAAGUCGAACGAGACCUUCGGGUCUAGUGGCGCACGGGUGCGUCACGCGUGGGAACCUGCCUUUAGGUUCGGAAUAACUCAGAGAAAUUUGAGCUAAUACCGGAUGAUGUCUUCGGACCAAAGAUUUAUCGCCUUUAGAUGGGCCCGCGUUGGAUUAGCUAGUUGGUGGGGUAAAGGCCUACCAAGGCGACGAUCCAUAGCUGGUCUGAGAGGAUGAUCAGCCACACUGGGACUGAGACACGGCCCAGACUCCUACGGGAGGCAGCAGUGGGGAAUAUUGGACGAUGGGCGAAAGCCUGAUCCAGCAAUGCCGCGUGAGUGAUGAAGGCCUUAGGGUUGUAAAGCUCUUUUACCCGAGAUGAUAAUGACAGUAUCGGGAGAAUAAGCUCCGGCUAACUCCGUG
rnacentral:rRNA from 1 species